UCAGCUUCUGUUUUAAAGUGCUGUAAUUCCCUCCAGUUGACCAGCAAAAGACUUCCUCCCAAUACCUGUAGGAGGAUCAACCAAAAUAGCGAUAAAUAUUAUGAUUAUUCGGUGUCGUUUUUCCGCCCGUCUUUCUAUGGAACAUCAAGGGACUUGGGCUGUGUUGCUGUUGAAUAAAUUUGACAAAUGGGAAACCUUUAGAGAAGCUUGAUCCAGCCGAUCGAUUGAUCCUGAUAUACUUGAAUAAGGGCAGAGCUCCUUCUGCUGGUCCUUCUGCUCCUCAGCUGCUUUCGGAUUCUUCAUCCCGUCCCUCCCUCAGACCAGCCUGAAGCUGCCAGGAUGGUUGGAUUCAAGCCCUCCGACGUCCCUCCAACAGCCGCUGUCAAGUUUCUGGGAGCUGGGACAGCGGCCUGCGUUGCAGACCUGAUCACCUUCCCCCUCGACACGGCAAAGGUCAGG